UACGGAAGGCAGCAGUGGGGAAUAUUGCACAAUGGGCGCAAGCCUGAUGCAGCCAUGCCGCGUGUAUGAAGAAGGCCUUCGGGUUGUAAAGUACUUUCAGCGGGGAGGAAGGCGGUGAAGUUAAUAGCUUCACCGAUUGACGUUACCCGCAGAAGAAGCACCGGCUAACUCCGUGCCAGCAGCCGCGGUAAUACGGAGGGUGCAAGCGUUAAUCGGAAUUACUGGGCGUAAAGCGCACGCAGGCGGUCUGUCAAGUCGGAUGUGAAAUCCCCGGGCUUAACCUGGGAACUGCAUUCGAAACUGGCAGGCUAGAGUCUUGUAGAGGGGGUAGAAUUCCAGGUGUAGCGGUGAAAUGCGUAGAGAUCUGGAGGAAUACCGGUGGCGAAGGCGGCCCCUGGGACAAAGCUGACGCUCAGGGUGCGAAAGCGUGGGGAGCGAAACAGGGAUUAGGAUACCCCGU
rnacentral:rRNA from 1 species